UUCCUUCCCCUCACCACGAUACCGCGCUCUCCCCCACCCCAGCCACGGCCUCCCCGGCUUUCCUCCCCCGACUACGGCUCGCACCCCACCCCACCUCCAGCUUGGGCUCUCCCAGGCUUAAGAGCCUGCCGGAGAAAAGGCACCUAAAUCUAAUGCUACACAGAGAAGCGGAGCCUCCAUCUUGCGCUGCUCCGCGUUCUCCAUUUUGGGCCACCCAUGGGGGGGGGUCUCCGUGGAGGCCCCGAGGGAGAGUUGGGCGAGGGAAGGAAGAGAAAAUCUUCAGCGAGGGUAGUCGAAAAGAAGAGUCGUGCAGUAGAAAGCCACUCUAGGAGUAGGAGCCUCGAGGACCUUUGACCGAGAGCUCUCUACGCGGGGAAGAAAAACUCGGGGAGGGCCUGUCCCCUCCGAAGCGCCGCUUUUCCUAGGACAGGAAGGAGUGACCUAUUACAGUGUCUCCAUUGCUGUUAUAGAAGUUCCUAGACUCAUACGAUAUUGUUUAGUUAAGAGCUCUCUGUUCCUCUUUUUAAAAAAAUUUUGGUUCGAAUAUUCCUUUAAUAUUAAAUUACCUUUUAAUUACAGGAACAGGAAUAAAUGUAUUUAGUAACAAGACAAAUUUUCCAAAUGAGGAGAAACGAAAGCCCUGUGUAAAUCGUGAAGAUUUCACCUGAUAUCACCUCGAAAGUAUUCCCAACGCAAUACAAUGAUUAAUCUCAGUCCUCAAA